AAAUUGAAGAGUUUGAUCAUGGCUCAGAUUGAACGCUGGCGGCAGGCCUAACACAUGCAAGUCGAACGGUAGCACAGAGAGCUUGCUCUCGGGUGACGAGUGGCGGACGGGUGAGUAAUGUCUGGGAAACUGCCUGAUGGAGGGGGAUAACUACUGGAAACGGUGGCUAAUACCGCAUAACGUCGCAAGACCAAAGAGGGGGACCUUCGGGCCUCUUACCAUCAGAUGUGCCCAGAUGGGAUUAGCUAGUUGGUGAGGUAACGGCUCACCAAGGCGACGAUCCCUAGCUGGUCUGAGAGGAUGACCAGCCACACUGGAACUGAGACACGGUCCAGACUCCUACGGGAGGCAGCAGUGGGGAAUAUUGCACAAUGGGCGCAAGCCUGAUGCAGCCAUGCCGCGUGUAUGAAGAAGGCCUUCGGGUUGUAAAGUACUUUCAGCGGGGAGGAAGGUGUUG
rnacentral:rRNA from 2 species